rnacentral:piRNA from 1 species
UUGGCCCCAAAAUAUGAGCCAGGCAGAGU